rnacentral:rRNA from 1 species
AAAGUCUAACCUGCCCAAUGAAUAUAACAAUUUAAAUGGCUGCGGUACCCUGACCGUGCAAAGGUAGCAUAAUAAUUAGUUUUUUAAUUGAGAACUAGAAUGAAUGGUUGGACGAGAAAAAGACUGUCUCAAUUUAAUUUAUAUUAGAAUUUAAUUUUUAAGUUAAAAAGCUUAAAUAUAUUUAAAAGACGAGAAGACCCUAUAGAGUUUUAUAUUAAAUUUUAUAUUUAAUUUAAAGUAUAAUUAUAUUUGAAGUAUAUUAUUUAGUAUUUUAUUGGGGCGAUAGAAAAAUUGAAUAAACUUUUUUUAAAUUUAAACAUUAAUUUAUGAUUAAGUGAUCCA